rnacentral:rRNA from 1 species
CCCAGACUCCUACGGGAGGCAGCAGUGGGGAAUAUUGCGCAAUGGGGGCAACCCUGACGCAGCAACGCCGCGUGCAGGAAGAAGGUCUUCGGAUUGUAAACUGUUGUCGCAAGGGAAGAAGACAGUGACGGUACCUUGUGAGAAAGUCACGGCUAACUACGUGCCAGCAGCCGCGGUAAUACGUAGGGGGCAAGCGUUAUCCGGAUUUACUGGGUGUAAAGGGAGCGUAGACGGCAUGGCAAGUCAGAUGUGAAAGCCCGGGGCUCAACCCCGGGACUGCAUUUGAAACUGUCAGGCUGGAGUGCAGGAGAGGUAAGUGGAAUUCCUAGUGUAGCGGUGAAAUGCGUAGAUAUUAGGAGGAACACCAGUGGCGAAGGCGGCUUACUGGACUGUAACUGACGUUGAGGCUCGAAAGCGUGGGGAGCAAACAGGAUUAGAUACCCUGGUA